AUUAGCCAGGCCUGGUGGCGGGUGCCUGUAAUCCCAGACGCUCGGGAGGCUGAGGCAGGAGAAUCACUUGAACCCGGGAGGCGGAGGUUGCAGUGAGCCGAGAUCACGCAAUUGCACUCCAGCUUGGGCAACAAGAGCAAAACUCUAUCUAAAAAAAAAAAAAAUUUAAAUAAAUAAAUAAAAUCAGUAAUAAUACUGAUUGCUUGAAUUUUAAAAUAAUUAAAAUACACUAUAAUAACAGCAUACUUUGAAAAGGUGGAUAAAUGAACUUAAAGUUCUCUAUGGUUCUUUUUUUCCAGGUUGGAUGUUAAAGUUAUUGAUUAAUGUAAGUUAAAGAUGCACAUUGGCAUUUCCAAAGUAAAAACUAAAAAAAUAGAAAAGAAAAUUACUUUCAUGAUGUAUCACUGUGUAAUAAACCACCUCAAAAUUUAAGAUUUAGAACAAUACUACUUGGUUCUGUGUCCCCACCUAAAUCUCAUGUUGAAUUGUAAUCCCCAAUGAUGGAGAUAGGAGGUGAUUGGCUCAUAGGGGUUGUUUCUAAUGGGUUAGCACCAUCCCCCUACUGCUGUCUUGUGAUAGAGUUCUCAUGAAAUCUGGUGGUUUGAACGUGUGUAGCACCUCCCCUUCAUUCUCUCUCUCUCUCUCCUGCCAGCAAUGUGAAGAUGUGCUUGCUUCCCCUUCACCUUCCACCAUGACUGUAAGUUUCCUGAGGCCUCCCCAGCCAUGCUUCCUGUACAGCCCAUGUAACUAUGAAGAACAGUUCAGCCAUGGACUGCAGCUGCUGCGUGGCUAAUGGAAAAGGAGCCCAGGAAUGCACACUCUCCGUAUCUACUCAAUGCCAACAGGCUUGCCUGAUGUGAACAAAAAUUCAGUCAAGCUGCCUGCUUGGCACUGUACAAGCAAUAGAUCCAGGUGCCUCACAAGAUUUCCAACUGAAAUAAGGGGCUGUUUUUGAAUGGUGCCGGUCCAAUAUUAAAUGCUUUCUUCCUCAUUGGCUGUGUGAUAAGUCAGUGGAUGUUGGUAUAUGAAAUCCAUGGUAUUUUGGAGCAGCAGAGGAUCCCAGAAAAGAUCUUAUCCAACAUUUCUCAAAAUGUGUUCCAUGGAAACAUGGAACUGUGAGAGG
rnacentral:lncRNA from 1 species